CGCGUGAUUUCCAUAGGAGCUGCUAUACGGAGAAGAGUCUGUUUGAAUUUUGCGCCACCCUCCCACAAGGAAAGUAGAAGUAACAAAGAAGAUUGAAGAUACUAUGAGCAUGUCCAGGAUGCUGACCAAGAACAGUACCCAGUGAAUGCAACCAAAGGAAAUAACCACAUGGAUCAUCAGUCUAAGCCACCGCCUUGAGGCAGGAAAGUGGAGCUCCGUAUCUUGACAGAUGACUAUCUGUAGCCACUUCUUGCAAGUUUCCGGUUAUGGAGAUUUCAUUUGAAAGAGCCUGUUAUUUUCAUAGGUACAGCAGAACACAGAGAGACUGAGAGGAAGGAUUAAAAAGAGAACCUGCUCUGACUUCCUGGUUUUCUGUGAAAAUGAAAUGGACCAUAUCGGGGCCUGGAGCUGCAGGGUUUUUUUUCUAAUCCAAAACAUGUUUAAACAGGAAUUCUCCAGUGAGAAGAAUCUGACCGGACAGCUGCAGAAGACUCAAGGCAUUUUCACUAGUGAUCCUAGGAACCCUUUGAAGACUUUUCCACAACAGACUCUUCAAUUGCUUUUUCUGCAUUUGUAAUUCAAAUGAAAACUAUACAUUGGACAGAAUCUGUGUAUUUGAUAUAGCUGUAGUGUUUUUAAUCCACUCCAUGUUUUUUGUGUGUUCUGGCUUACCAGGGCCUGGAGUAGGGCUACUCCAAGUCUUACACAGAAGCUCUAGAAAGACCAGGCCCUGAGGCAGCUAAGAAUCAAGUUUUCUGGUGGACACUUUUCUCAUGCUUCAGGUUCGUUCAGGUUUGUUAUAAAGAAAAGUAUUUUUAUUAUUGCCUUUUGUGCCAUUCCUACAUCUUACAAUGGCACGACAUAGGCUGAGGCCUACUUUGCAGACAAAAAGCUUCUUCAUGCCUGCUGAGCAUGUGAGUGGUGUUCUUACUUAGUUUUCCUACUUCGUAGCAAGCUGAAAAGAGAAAUCUAGACCUGAUCUCCACGCCUUUCCUUCAUUUGAUGCUCAUGAUUCCCAUAAAACCCUAGGGCCCCACUUGGGAUAAAUGGAUCCAGAUCCUGGAAAAAUGUUUUCAUGCUAUGGAAAUAGACUGCCGUACUAGAAAGUGUGUUCUCCUUUUGUAUUAUGCUGGACAAUAAGUGUAUGACAUCUUUACACCCUCCCAGAUGCAGAAGGUGAUGAUGAUUAUGUGAAAGCAAAGGAGGCACUGACAAAAGGACUUUUCUGCAAAGAAAAACACUGAUUUUGAGGUGUAUAAAUUCCACUGGGUCAGACAGAAGCAGGGUGAAUGCAUGGAUGAGCUUCAUGCCCGGCUGAGAAACCUACCUGCUUCCUGUGAAUUCAGCAAUA